AUUGAACGCUGGCGGCAGGCCUAACACAUGCAAGUCGAACGGUAACAGGGAACAGCUUGCUGUUUCGCUGACGAGUGGCGGACGGGUGAGUAAUGUCUGGGAAACUGCCUGAUGGAGGGGGAUAACUACUGGAAACGGUAGCUAAUACCGCAUAACGUCGCAAGACCAAAGAGGGGGACCUUCGGGCCUCUUGCCAUCGGAUGUGCCCAGAUGGGAUUAGCUAGUAGAUGGGGUAACGGCUCACCUAGGCGACGAUCCCUAGCUGGUCUGAGAGGAUGACCAGCCACACUGGAACUGAGACACGGUCCAGACUCCUACGGGAGGCAGCAGUGGGGAAUAUUGCACAAUGGGCGCAAGCCUGAUGCAGCCAUGCCGCGUGUAUGAAGAAGGCCUUCGGGUUGUAAAGUACUUUCAGCGGGGAGGAAGGGAGUAAAGUUAAUACCUUUACUCAUUGACGUUACCCGCAGAAGAAGCACCGGCUAACUCCGUG
rnacentral:rRNA from 1 species